rnacentral:lncRNA from 1 species
GUGGCUAGCUUUUGCAGUUGAUUUCAUAAUUUAAAUACAUUCAUGUAAAACAUCAGAUGUGUAGAUGGAGAGAAUAGAAAAAUGAACAUGAAGGGAGAAAGUGACUACUUCAGAAGCAGAAGACCCUUUUCUUUGUUCAUCUGUUGGCAACAAUUUGUCCUCUGGCAAACACUGGGAGUGAAAGCGGUUAUAAUCACCUAGUUUUAAUAGCUAGAGUCACUCUAUACUUUUUCUUCCAAUGCCUAGCUAUCCUUAGAAAUAAUGACUUUGGAAGGGGUAAUGGAAGUUUUUUUUAACUCAGAAAUUGGAGAAACAUUAACUUUUUAAUUUACUACCCUGUCCCCCAAAUGGUGACAGUACUGCCAGGCAUUGGAAAUAGGUGAGGCAGACUCUUUCAUGGAAAUUAAUUGAAAAGUUGAAGUAUGCUCUAAGUGCUGAAGUAAGUAUGCACAUGGAAGAAUAGGAUGGCUCCUGUCCCUGAGAAUAAAAUCUUCAAAUAUCUCAUUUUUCUCACAAUUAAAAACUAAACUCGUAAUUACCUGGAAAAGGGAACAAAUUAGAGCACACACUAAACUACCCACAAAGCAAAAUAAUCUCAACCAACAACUCCAACCAAGACUUUGACAAGUCACCCAACAACAUUAGGCUACCGCAUAUUGUUCCUUUUUUUUCUUCACAGUCAUGUGUCUCUGAGUAUACACAGGAGUAAUAUGCAUCAUCACGAAGAUGCCUCAGCGUAAAUAAAACA